rnacentral:rRNA from 1 species
CUAGGCCAGGAGACGAUAUCAGGCACGCGCAAUUUAAAGCCAAGCCCAUGACAUCUAGCCCCGCCACACCCCCCAGGACUUCAGCAGUGAUAGACAUUAAGCAAUGGGCCCAAACAUAAGCCCGACUUAGCUACGGCCACACAAAGCGUCGGCAAACUUCGUGCCAGCCGCCGCGGUUACACGAAGGACUCGAAACAAUACUAACGGCAUAAAACGUGACUAGAACACCUUCCCCCCGGAAACUCACAACCCUGGUAUAGCUGUAAAACGCACAUACACACUGGAACCCCCAACGAUUUUCCACCAAAGACUUUGACUCACGAAAACCGGGGCCUAAACUAGGAUUAGAUACCCUACUAUACCCGGUCGUAAACCAAGAUGGUUCAACCAUACCCCCAUCUGCCCGAGAAUUACAAGUGAAAAACUUAAAACUCUAAGGACUUGACGGUGCCCCACACCAGCCUAGAGGAGCCUGUCCUGUAAUCGAUACUCCACGCUCCACCUCACCCCCCCUUGUAUAAAACCCGCCUAUAUACCGCCGUCGCCAGCCCACCUACUGAUAGAGACAGAAGUCGGCACAAUAGCACCCCGCUAACACGUCAGGUCAAGGUGUAGCCAAUGGGGGGGGCUAAGAUGGGCUACAUUUGCUAACCCAUAGCAAACCCCACAGAAAGCCCCAUGAAACAGGGGCCAACAGGCGGAUUUAGCAGUAAACUCCGGGCAAGACCUGCCCACUUGAACACCGCUCUGGGGCGCGUACACACCGCCCGUCACCCUCCUCAACCCCACACCAAAUCACCCUUAAAUAACACCAC